CUAAAGAAAAACAAAGACUAACACAAAUUCGCAACACACAACACCGAAUAAAUGAGAUUGAACAAAACGAACCUUUACAUAUCAUGCAUAUGGCGGUAGUAAACACAGGUACUCCAAAAAGUUAUACAGAUCAUUCUUUUAUCUGUUAUGCCAAGAAACCCCGCUUAAAAAAUUGCACUCGGUUACGUUAUCAACGAGAAAAAAAACAGCACCGAGAUUGUAGCUAAGUCAAUGUGUACCAAAAAUCGAACAUUUCUGUCAUCAUUGACAAUAACUCCAGAAUGGUCAAACAAUUCAUGACGUAAUUAAAAGUAAAUGAUCACAAUGGAUGCUUUAUACUGCCCAAGGAUUAACUUCAAUCUAUUGUAUACAAAACAAGAAUAUGUCCAUAGUACACGGAUGCCCCACUCGCACUACCAUUUACUUUGUUCAGUGGUUCGUGAAAUUGGGAUAAAACACAAUUUGGUACUCAAAUCAUAGGAAACAUGUGUACUAAGUUUCAAGUUGAUUGGACUUCGACUUCAACAAAAACUUGAUUAACCAAACACUUAAACCUAAAGCGAGACAGACGCAAAGACCGAAAAAACAUAUUGGCCCUAGGUGGGGGAUAAAAAUGUACACGUGUGUUGUAAUUAUAAAUAAGGCCUUUAAACGUCGACAUAACAACCGGUUAAUUGGUCGAAAGAUUAUUCGAGUAACCGGUUUGGCGAAACUGGAUGAUAUACAUCCUGGACAAUAAAACGGAAGCAGCACUUUAGCAUGGGCUUAACUGCCGAAUAAGGAGAGUUCAAUGGAUAACCAUAAUUCUAAACCCC
rnacentral:lncRNA from 1 species